rnacentral:rRNA from 1 species
CAGCCGCCGCGGGAAUACGUAGGUGGCAAGCGUUGUCCGGAAUUAUUGGGCGUAAAGGGCUCGCAGGCGGUUUCUUAAGUCUGAUGUGAAAGCCCCCGGCUCAACCGGGGAGGGUCAUUGGAAACUGGGAAACUUGAGUGCAGAAGAGGAGAGUGGAAUUCCACGUGUAGCGGUGAAAUGCGUAGAGAUGUGGAGGAACACCAGUGGCGAAGGCGACUCUCUGGUCUGUAACUGACGCCGAGGAGCGAAAGCGUGGGGAGCAAACAGGAUUAGAUACCCCCGUAGUCCCUGUCUCUUAUAU